rnacentral:rRNA from 1 species
UCCCAGCGGUCCAAGUCGCAGCCACAUUUGUUGGGUCUAAAACAUCCGUAGCUUGCCUUACAAGCCUUUUGUGAAAUCGGGACUCUUAAGGUUCCGUCGGGCAAAAGAUACUGUUUGGCUAGAGACCGGGAGAUGUAGCGAGUACAGAUAGGGUAGUGGUUAAAUACGUUGAUCCUUUCUGGACUAACGAUAGCGAAGGCACGUUACAAGCACGGAUCUGACAGUGAGGGAUGAAGGCUAGGGGCGCAAAGUG